CGGCACGCGCCCUCGCGGCACGGACGAGGGAUGCUCGGUGUUUAAACGCGCGAGACCGAAGACUUGUGCAAACCCCGUGUGUAAGACCGUUCACUAGGAAAAAGGUACAAGGCAAAUAUUGUUAGAGAACAUCCCUUUGCCACUCUGUAAGAGUGCAGAGGUUUGAAAAUGCAAUCGUGCAGCGGGGGGGUCUCGGCACCAGUUCUUUGGUUUGGUGAGAGGCUAGUUACUCCCAAGUAACUCUUCAGGAGAACCGCCUGCACUGAACACUGCUGCGGGGAAGCGCCGCUGGAUCCCGGAGUAACACCACCGCUGCUGCCUGGCCCGCUCCUGCCUGCGUUCUAAU